UGGAGAAGAAAGGAAAUUCAUCAAAAGGAAGAGGAGGAAAAGGAGAGGGAAAAAAAAAAAGAAAUGGAAAAGAAAGAAGAGAAAGGAAACGAGAGGCAAAAAAAAAAAAGCAUGGGGAAAAAAAAGACAACUUUUUGGGACUGGAAUUAAAACCCGAGGGAGCGGCGUGGCUUCCCCCGGCGCGAUGCUCUGCUUGUGUUGUGGCCGGCACAUCAUGGCACGUAGCUCCCAGUGAGAGUUCACAGGGAAUUUCCUGGUUGUCUCACUACCACAUGAACCCAGGAGUGGGAAAAACCCACCCUGCAAACCCAGGAGAGCCUGGCCCUGAGAGCCACCAGCCCCAUCUCAGGGGGUCACAGCCACCAGAAGCCCUCGCAGUGGCCGAUCCCACGUGAACCUUCCUCGUCCUCCUCCUCCUCCUCCUCCUCCUGCCUGCUGCCGCUGGCUGGAGCAGCGCAGAGCACGCCUGGUGCCAGCACCGCGGCCACGGGGACACUGGGGACUGCCCUGGGGACAAGAAAGGACACCACAGAGCAUCCUUGUGCCGGGCAGCACCGAGCCUCGUGGCUCGUGGGCAGCCAAAGAGUCACAGAAUCACCGGGGCUGGAAGCGAACUUGAAGAUCAGCAAGCGCGACUGCCAACCUCCUGCGUCCCAGCGCUGCGCCAUGGCCCUUGGUGCCACCAGAAAACCUUGUGCAUCUCUACCUGGAGAAGACGUCUCGGUGCUUUUCACGUGGCUCAGGCCUCCUUUGCUGUCCUCCUUUGCCAUCCUCCAGCUCUCUGCAGCGAGGUUUGAGCUCCUGGGAGAUGCCUGUGGGGGAACCACAGCACUUGUGGCGUCCUGGGCUGGGGCGAGGAGGUUUGGGGUGCUGAGCCCUGCAGCCCUCCCAGCUCCGAGCAGCUCUCCUGUACCACUGGAAGCCCAGGAACUGAAAGUGCUUCGUACCCAGUCCUGCUGACCCCAUCCUGUAAGGCAAACUCGGGCACCCAGGGCAGCCCUAGCAUGGCACCGGGCGCAUCGGGGCCGAGGUGCCUCCGUGUGACACAAAGAGGGUCAGGAAGUGCCACCGCGCACAGGCUUUGAGGCUUCUUUGCGCUUUCAGGAAGGAAAGGAGCCAAGGAGGGAGUCCUCUGAUGCUGGUGGGUGCAGCCUGAGCCCCUUCUCCUUCGGCCUGAUGCUGCUGGCAGCUAGGGGGGCUUGGGGAGCGCCCUGUGUCCCAUGGGGAGCUGCGUGCAUCCACCCCCAGCCCUCGCCAGGCAGAAGCUGGUGGGAGAAGCCGUGCAGAGGCACCGAGCCAUCGGCAAUAAAUGCAAAAUGCUCUGGCCCUUGAGCUGCAGAGAGGAAAUGGGAGGGAAAAAAAAAAGGCCUUUUUUUCCGAAGGGAGAGCCUUCUGCAGCAGGAGCUGGUCCCGGUGGCGGGGUCGUGCCUGGGGCCUGGGCAACGGGCACUCAGGGAGCGUUUUGGGGCAGGAAGCGGCGCUGCUGCAGGGCGAAGGGUCCGUGCUGCAGGUGGGGACAGGGCUGAGGCUUUCUCCCCGAGCACGGCGCCCAUGGGUGCCACAGCAUCCCUCCUCCACCGCCCUGCCCACGGCGCCCAGCGAGCGCAGGGACUUUGGGAACGGGGAGCGAGGGAGCGUCAGCAUCCGUCCCCCUUUUGUCGCCGCCGUGUAAUUUAUGAUAUGAGAGGGGGGCCAUUGUCUGGACCCAUCCUGUAUUUUUCCGAGGGCUUUGCCUCUCUUCCCAGCCCCCCGCUGUGCCGCUGCUACUGUACCGUUGCCAUGGGACGUGCUCCCCGCGCCGCGGCAAUGCGGGGCAGCGCUGGGGAGGGCAGAGCGCCACGGCCGGACCCAUCUGGAGCCCCGCAGCCCCGCUGCCGGCAGCACCCGCGGGCAGCCCCGCUGACGUGCCGAGGGCCUGGGAAUGGGGCUUUCGGCCCCUCCAAGUUCACGGCCACCGGAGGCAUUCAGCUGCCAGGGGGGCAGCGGGAUCCGGGGUGUUUGGCUCCAUUCUCCCUUCCCCUCCGCCUUUCAGCGGCGGCGGUGUCCUCGGUGCAUACAGAUCCCCCCGUCCCUUUCUCCUCCUGACAAGUGCGCACAUAAAUAAAUUACCCCCACCGGGCGAGUGUGGAACAAUCUGUCCCCUAAAUUCUAUUCACCGCCAGACAGGACCCAUUAUUCCCCCGAUUAAAGCCGCUGGAGUAGCUUGCAAGGGUUACAGUUACUCUGUCAAACUGUAAAUAAGACACUAAAAAUAAAGGGCGCUGCUGAGAGAGGGAGAGAGAGGGGGAAAGGGAAGCCAGACUAAUGCCUGCUGCUAGGGAAACCGAAUGAAUCCCUAAUGACGCCUGUGUACAAACUGCAAAUAAUGAAGGAAAAGUGACAAACGGACCUCGGCCGGGCUGCGGCGAGCCACCGGCUGCGGGGGGCUCUGCGCCCGCCUCGCUGCCCCCAUCGCCCCUAAGGGAGCGAAGGGGGAGCAGGACCUUUGGGUGCCCAGCCCUCACGGGGUGUUAAAGCCUUUACUUCACUUGUGGCAAGGUUUUCUUGCUGAUGAGUUUAUUUUCCAGGUGCGUUGAGUGCAGCGGAUCCCCUGAACCAAGGGACGGGGCCGCUGCUUGAGCCCGUUUUGGGGUGGCGCAGGGAAAAGUCCAUCGGCCCUGGCCUUGGGGUGGCACACGGAGAAGCAGCUCUGGGUUUGGGUUUGGGAGCCCUGCAUGGGGCUGGCUGUGCUCGUGCCAGCGAUGGGUGUGGUGAAGGAGGCCUCCAGCCCCAGGUGGACAAAACCCAAUUCCCCUCCCACUUGCCAGCCACGAUGGCGGGGACAUUCCCCUCGCGGCGCCUCCUUCCUUGCCUCCUCGUGUACCUUGGAGCUGAUGAGGGGAGGAAAAACCCACCUGUGGUGCGCUCACCUCGGGGCUUUCUGGGUUCUGCUUGGGCAGGGGGGUGAGGGUUUAGCCUGGGGUCCGUCUCAGCCCAUUCCCUUCCCUGCCAUGGCUACCUGCCUCGCCAGCCUCCGCUGGCUCUCUGGGUGGGGGCCGUGCCUCAAACGGGGAACCUGGAGCACAGAAAGUGCUGGUGGGGACUGGAGGAAAUGCCUCUGGGUGGGAAAUGCAGCUCUCGUCCUCCAGCAAAUGCCAGGCUGGGAAUCCAGCCUUCUGCACAGCGCUGGGGCAGGGUUUUUCUGCAAAAAGCGCCAGGAAAGGGCACGAGGAGCAGCGUGAGAUGCUGACACUGCGCUCCCACUGGCAGCAUGACGGCGAGAUGUGUGGUGGUGAGGGCACCCAAGGGUCAUGCUGGUGGGUGUCCUGCCCCAGCGUGAGCCCCCACAGCACCCAGAGCCCCCCGCAGCACCCAGAGCCCCCCGGAGUUUGCAUCUUGGGGCUCCCAGCCUGGUUUGCACAAAAGCUCAGCCACCUCGGGAGGGAUGGCUCUGACCAGCACAGUUUCCCACCUAGGCCAAGCCUGGACUUAGCAGCUUGCCUCCCUCUCUCUUAGGAAAAAUAAACCUCCCUUUUCUCCCCCAGUUCCUGGCUGUGAAGCCUCAUGACUCCGCAGCAGCAUUCCUGGGACAUUCCCGAGGCGAGCUGGUAUGCGCAGAAUUUCAGAGCGUGGCAGUGCCACGUCCCCCAGUGCUCAAUAGACACCGGGAUGGAACCACAAAAACCCCAAAAUCUCGGCUAUCGUAGCUGCUGCUCCUAAUAGAGACCUCAGGCCGGGUGGGUGAGCACUGGUGGGGCUGGAGGAAGAGGUUGCUGCUGCCCAUCCCCAAAUUUACCAAUUUAGUUGGAGAAGGUGGUGAGGAAUUUGGAAAGCUAACGCCUACUGGGGCAAAACCAAAGCUGCGUCCUCCAGGCACAGCCACCAUGGAAGCUGCGCAAAAUCUUUAGGAGGAUGAGGGGCAGGCGCUAAGGGAUGCAGAGACCCCAAUGUCAGCCUAGGAGUGGGUUUGGCUCUGUGGGGUUUGCUCCCUGGCCAGGGACGGGUUCUCCUGGGGCUUCGGUCGAGGCGCGCUCGGUGUUCGGCUCCCCUUGAGACUGCACCGACAAGGGCAAGACUUAAUAAAAAUGAACUUAUUUGGAUUUCCCCGUUUGAAUCUCUUGGGUCGCAGUUUUCGAGCUUUUCUCCCAGUCCGUUACAACAUGAUUGCUGCUAUUUUAUUUUACAUAUUUCCUCCUCCAUGUGAGUGACCUGGCAGCCGGAGCUGGAGCUUUCCCGUGGCGGUUUAGGCGAAGCCCAUCCCGGCCACGUGCCAAACGCGUUUGCCCUGCACGUGGCACUUCUCCAGGUCCUUUAGAUUACCUUACCCCGUGCCAUUUCCGAGACCCCAUGCCUCCCUGCCCCUCUCUUUCCCCACAUGCUCUACCCCAGAACAUCCGAGGGCAUUAUUUUCGAUCCGUGGCCGUAGUCUCGCCCAGGGAGAGCUGGUGGCAGCCGCACCCUUCCCUGCCCAAGGACUCAGAUGCAGUGAACGCCUUCCCUUGGGUUUCAUUCCAAAUUCCUGAUCCGGCAGGCGUUUGCUAGCACAAAGCCCACACGCCUGUGCUAAUACCCAGGUAGCUUGCAUGGCUAAAGCACUCUGUUGUGUUGGUUGCAGUUUUUUUUUUUUUUUUAAUUAUUAUUUUUAAUUUUCAUUAUAUUCGCCUUUUAAAGCGCGUGUGUAAAUGCUUCCCCGCAGGCUCAUGCGAGGGCUGUUAAGGGCUUCGUCUGAAUAAAUAAGUGCAGGGGGACUGGAGGAACAUCUCCACCACCCCCUGCAAGCCUCAGCGAUGGCACCAGCAGGCCAGCGAGCGGGCGAAGGGGCUCGCCGCUCCCUAGUCCAUAAAGUUGAGUAAUUAAGUAUUACUAGUUUCUGAUGACUUCAAACAGAGUGACUCCAGGAAAUAAGCCCCUUCUUUAUAAUUAGCGGGAUUUCCUCUGCAUCAAACGGGGAGAUUGAUUCUUUAAUCUGCUCACAUGCUUUUGAUUUGGUCGUUCAGCCGCUUGUACCAACUGCUUCCACUCCCUGCUCUUGCUGAUAAAACCUCGCAAAGGAGAUUUCGGGAAGGCAUGACCCGAGCUGAGGUCUCGGAUUUUCUUUGUGUGGGGCUGUUUUUGGGUAUUCUCAAGUUUGCCAGUGAUGCUGAUAAAAACUAGACGUGGGUUUUCAACAUCCACCCGUGUUUAGGUCAAGGGAUGGGUUUGGGUCAAGGUGGUUUUGGUCAAGGGGUGCUUGGUGGGUUUAGGGUUUGGUCCCUUGGCUCUGUGGGAUGUCCGAGCCCCGUGCACUCGAUGGGACGGGGUCUGCGAUGCUCAGUCAGGUGCAGGAUCAGGCUCCGGCACCUUCUUGCCCCUCGCCAGCCUCCCCUAGUCUGCAGCGGUGCCAAACACAGAUCCCAUAAUUAGGGAGCCGGUGAACUGUACAAUUAUGCAAAUAAUGCUAGAAAUCACCGUUUUCAGCAGAAAUGCCUGAAAAUUGAGCCAGGAGCUCCGUGAUACCUGGGGUGAAUCGGGUGCUGCGGGGCCGGUGCCUGGCCCCACGGUGCUCAGCGGGGCUGGGGAGGAAACCGAGCCGGGGGGGACCAAAAAAAAUGAAAACAGCUUAACCAGCAGCGCCGAUGUUUACGGUGGUUUUCUUUUUCUUUUGAUUUCAGGUGAAGAACACAAGGCUGGAA